GCGGAUGGAUCAUUAACGAGAAUCUAGACCUAGUCUAGUAUAACAUCGUUAUACCCUUGUGGUUAAAUAGGAAUUUAGUUGAUUGUGAAGUGAUUAGUAUUUUAGUGAAAGGUGUCAAAGCCGAUUACUGAUAUACGAGUCGUCACGAUCCUCUUAUCUACUAUAACAAACAAUAUUAUUACAUCUUUACUGAAGUAACCUUGUGAAAAGAUAUUUAUUUAUCAAUUACCAAGUAAAACAAUAAUAACCUAUACAACUGCUAACAACGGAUCACUCGGCUCUCGCGUCGAUGAAGAACGUAGCGAACUGCGAAAAUUAAUGCGACCCGCAACACGUGAGUCAUCGAGUCUUUGAACGCAUAUUGCACCCGACAGGCUCGCUUGUCGGGUCUGCCUGUCUGAGUAUCAGUACGGACCCAAUCAAUAACUAAAGGCGGUUUUAAUCGUUGGCAGUUGUUGUGUUGGUGCUCGCUAGUCAAUCAUUUAUGUUUGAUUAGCGGAUUUGAGUGUUCAGUUACCUUUAGUAAUUGAUCAUUUGAAAUGUAUUGGUGUUGUCUAGCUGACAGUCGCCGCGUUAGCAUUGCUAAUCAUCUUUUAGAUGUUCCUUGCUAUUACGGAUCAAUGACAAUAAGCAUUAAUAAACAGCCCAAGCGCAAACCUACUAAUAGAUAUUCGUUAUUUAUUUAACCAUCUUGAUCUCAGAUCAGG
rnacentral:rRNA from 1 species